CACGUAGGGGGCAAGCGUUGUCCGGAAUUACUGGGCGUAAAGGGCUCGUAGGCGGCCAACUAAGUCGGACGUGAAAUCCCUCAGCUUAACUGGGGAACUGCGUCUGAUACUGGAUGGCUUGGAUUUGGGAGAGGGAUGCGGAAUUCCAGGUGUAGCGGUGAAAUGCGUAGAUAUCUGGAGGAACACCGGUGGCGAAGGCGGCAUCCUGGACCAACAUUGACGCUGAGGAGCGAAAGCCAGGGGAGCAAACGGG
rnacentral:rRNA from 1 species